CCUACGGGAGGCAGCAGUGGGGAAUAUUGGACAAUGGGCGAAAGCCUGAUCCAGCAAUGCCGCGUGAGUGAUGAAGGCCUUAGGGUUGUAAAGCUCUUUUACCAGGGAUGAUAAUGACAGUACCUGGAGAAUAAGCUCCGGCUAACUCCGUGCCAGCAGCCGCGGUAAUACGGAGGGAGCUAGCGUUGUUCGGAAUUACUGGGCGUAAAGCGUACGUAGGCGGUUAUUCAAGUCAGAGGUGAAAGCCUGGAGCUCAACUCCAGAACUGCCUUUGAAACUAGAUAGCUAGAAUCUUGGAGAGGUGAGUGGAAUUCCGAGUGUAGAGGUGAAAUUCGUAGAUAUUCGGAAGAACACCAGUGGCGAAGGCGACUCACUGGACAAGUAUUGACGCUGAGGUACGAAAGCGUGGGGAGCAAACAGGAUUAGAUACCCUGGUAGUCCACGCCGUAAACGAUGAUAACUAGCUGUUCGGGCUCUACGAGCUUGAGUGGCGCAGCUAACGCAUUAAGUUAUCCGCCUGGGGAGUACGGUCGCAAGNUUAAAACUCAAAAUGAAUUGACGG
rnacentral:rRNA from 1 species